CAAACAUUUUAGCUUCAUUACAGGGCUCCCGAGUGGCGCCUCGGUGCAAGAGGCGUCCCUGGUUCGAAUACAGGCUGUAUCACAUCCGGCCGUGAAUGGGAGUCCCAUAGGGCGGCGCACAAUUGGCCCAGCAUCGUCCGGGUUUGGCGGUCAUUGUAAAUAAGAAUUUGGUUAAAUACAAUUACUCAAAAUGACGGCGCCGAAGCGGACACGACUUUUCACAGUGAAAGAGGUUAAUGUUGGUUGAUGAUUCGGACACGCACAUUGAAAAGCGAUGAUGUCGAGAUUGUUCAGGACUUCUCUAUUUGAAACCCGGACUUCUCGGUGAAGCUCACUGAACUGGAUCGGGGUCUUCAAGGACCAAAAAUGUUGCUUCGCCAGCUGAGAAAAGCAGGCCCAAGAUCUUCUCUUCAAAGUGCAGAUGCACAAGGUGACAUCCCUUUGACACUUCUGCCAGUGGUCCUCCCACACCAGUCUACAAGAUUGUCAGGAAGACAUUCCGACCCAGCUUCUAAGAGACCAGAAAGUCCUUCAUUGACUUGCGUAAUUUGUAUGGAUACAGCGCACUAGUAAGGACUAGUGCGCUGUAUCCAUACAAAUAACUAUAAUAUUCUUCUGCAUUUGGAUAUUUAUGCAAACAUGUAGAUUCCACCAAGUAGGCGUAGAUAAUGCCAUAAGCCAAUUUGGUAGGGUUGUCUCCCCAGCUGGUCUCCGGGAAGUUGAAAGGACAUUAAAACACCAUUUAAAAUGUUGCUACAUAAGAAUUAAGCCGGUCGAUCACAUAUAGGCCAAAAAAAAUCAACUUUUCUAAUUACCUAGACCGUUCAAAGGCAUGCAAAGACUGGAAGUAGUUACGCGACGUAUCUAAAACUAGCGAAUUAGAUUGAGAUUAACUUCUCUCACUAGCCAGCCAGAUAACAUAAGCUAACCGUCAAAAAAGCUAGGGGUAAACAAACAGUGACUUAAGUAUAAUGUGACAGCUUACUGUCAGUGUUGGCAGGUCAGGUAACACAUUAGCGUGGCAGAAUAAGUAUCAUGCAAAUCAUUUGUUGUUGUGACAGCCAAGUAUGUUAAUAAGGACACAUGAGGCUGCUGAAAACAUUUAUUGAAAUUACAAAAAGUUGUCAGUAGUUUGCUGAAGAUGCCACCAUAGUUUGGCUAAUUACAUGGGAGUAAUGAGUACCCUACUGCUGUACCCUAAUCGGGGUYUGGUCACGUUAAGUCACACCUCCGUGUGUAUCUAUGAGCCUCCGCCCCAAAUUUAAUGGAAGAUGUAGGUAUCAAACAGGGAUUGUGUGUUUUAUAUUUUCUUAAAUGGCUAUAUAGUAUACAAAAUAAAUUGUGAGUGGCAUUGUCA